GUGGAGUUGAAUUAAGAUGGAUAGCAGCAUCUUUUGAAGUAAAUUGUGAAGCAAAUGGAGAAGGAAUGCUGCCGAGCAUAUGACUUGUAUGUUUGAGGAAUGGAUACUUGAUAUCUGAUUCUGCUUUUGGAUCCUCGGGUUUUUGCAUAGAAGAGGAGGAGGCUUCAUUGUCAUAACGUAAAUCUGCAGUGUGUUUGCUGGCAGAUUCAUCUUCGGUGGCACCACCAGCAACCUCCGAAAGAACUGCUUGAUCAGGAACAGGACUCCCACUCCCAAGAAUUUCAGAAGGAUCAAAAGACAUAUCUGCAUUAUCACCAUCUGCGUCAAAGAAGGUAAGAUACUCUUCAAGCACGUCAAAA
rnacentral:misc_RNA from 1 species